CGCGGUGUAGUUUAAGGGUAAAACCGCCAUCCCUCAAAUGGUUGAUGCAGGUUCGAUUCCUGCCGCCGCGG
rnacentral:tRNA from 1 species